GGCGUUGUGGCUCAAUGGUAGGCGCUCACCUUGCAUGUGUGAGGCCCUGGGUUCAGUCCUCAGCACCA
rnacentral:tRNA from 1 species